GUAUCGAUAUAGUAUCGGGAAAUGAAAUAUCGCGAUAUUUCAGUGUAUCGAUAUUUUCUUACACCCCUACCAUCUGUCAUACUGAUUGUUCAUAAAUCUUCAGCUUGUAGUUAUCUCAUGCUAACUGUCAAGUUGCAGAAUUGUUAAGGCAGGUUUUUCUUCUCUUUCUAAAUGUACAUAGGUGCUGUCAGACAUUUUUGAAUAUAACUGUUCAAAUUCUUUGUGCACACGUAAUCAAGAUAAUUUGGAUGUUUUCCAUCUCUUCAAGCUUGAAGUGGCCAGAGCAUAUGUGGACUAUCACAUGAAAGAGUUUGGCUAUAAGAAGCCAAAUGUCAGUUUUGUCCAGGGUUACAUUGAAGCUUUAACUGAGGUGGGUCUGGAACAGAACUCCUUUGAUAUCACCAUUUCCAACUGUGUGGUGAACCUCUCUCCGGACAAGAAGAGGGUUCUGGCUGAAGUUUACAGCGUACUCAAGGUGUUUCUACUCAUCAGGAAGGUGGUGAGCUGUACUUCAGUGACAUCUACUGCAGUGGGAGACUAACAAAGGAAAUUAAAAAUCACAAAAUCCUGUGGGGGGAGUGUCUUGGCGGGGCGCUCUGGUGGAAGGAUGUGCUGGAACUGGCCAAUGAAGUGGGUUUCAGUGUUCCACGACUGGUUACAGCCAAUGUUGUGACAGUUGACAACAAAGAACUGGAGGACAUACUGGGUACUUUUAUAUAUAUUUGUAUUUUGUUUGUCUCGAAGGUUGCAAGAUUGCUUUCUUUGUGCACAUAUGGGUUUUCUCUGGGUAUUCUAGUUUUCUCCCACAGACCAAACACAUGCUUGUUAGGUUCAUCGAUAACUCUAAAUUGUCCCUAUAGUUGUGAGUGAGAGCAUGAAUGGUUGUUUGUCUAACUUGUCACUGACUCUUUGUGUCUGAAAGGCAAAUGCAGUUUUAUGAACCAACAGGACUGGACAUAACAGGUGCAACAGCACUGACAGGACACAGAGAUUUCUUUCACACACAAUUUGUUGCCCUCAUGACCUCAUUAAAAAACAACUUUGGUCACUUUAAGGCUUCAUUUAUGGAUGGGUUGUUGAGUUUACCUUCAUGAUGUGUGAACAGUUUUUGGUAACCAGUUAUACUUGGUUAAUGUUUUCUAAUGAUACUUUCAACCUUUGAAGUUAUGUUAACAUUCUAAAUUAACUUUUACAGGCUUUUUUUCUGUAAAUUAUUAAAUUAAAAAAGGUGGCAAAAGAUAUGCAUUC